GGAGGUGCAAGCGUGUCCGGAUUUAUUGGGUUUAAAGGGGUGCGUAGGCGGACAGAUAAGUCAGUGGUGAAAUACUUCGGCUCAACCGGAGAGGUGCCAUUGAAACUGUAUGUCUUGAGUGAAGUCAAAGUAGGCGGAAUUGAUGGUGUAGCGGUGAAAUGCAUAGAUAUCAUCAAGAACACCGAUAGCGAAGGCAGCUUACUUGGUUUCAACUGACGCUGAGGCACGAAAGCGUGGGGAGCGAACAGGAUUAGAUACCCUGGUAGUCCACGCUGUAAACGAUGCUCACUCGCUGUUGGCGAUAUGUUACAGUCAGCGGCCAAGCGAAAGCGUUAAGUGAGCCACCUGGGGAGUACGCUGGCAAACAGUG
rnacentral:rRNA from 1 species